GAGCUCGCCUCAGUAGCUCGUGUGCUGAGACUGGAACAGUACAGAGAUGGGAAGCCAAGCUCCUACGCAAGGAUGGCACCCAAAUUCGCAAAGUGUUCCUUUAUUUU
rnacentral:snRNA from 1 species